AAAGCUCAUUACAACAGCCAUAGUUUAUUGGAUCUUUACCUUCUUACACGGAUAACUGCGGUAAUUCUGGAGCUACUACGUGCAUUAAACGACGACCUUACGGAAGUCGUGCAUUUGUUAGACCAAACCAAUCGGUCUUCGGACCGCCAUUUGGUGAACUCUGAAUAACUUUGCUGAUCGCACAGUCUCGUACUGGCGACAAAUCUUUCAAGUGUCUGCCUUAUCAACUUUCGAUGGUAGUUUAUACGCCUACCAUGGUUGUAACGGGUAACGGAGAAUAAGGGUUCGACUCCGGAGAGGGAGCCUGAGAAACGGCUACCACAUCCAAGGAAGGCAGCAGGCGCGCAAAUUACCCACUCGCAGAACGCGGAGGUAGUGACGAAAAAUAACGAGGUGGCUCUCUACGAGGUCCGCCAUCGGAAUGGGUACAAUUUAAAUCCUUUAACGAGGAUCUAUUGGAGGGCAAGUCUGGUGCCAGCAGCCGCGGUAAUUCCAGCUCCAAUAGCGUAUAUUAAAGUUGUUGCGGUUAAAAAGCUCGUAGUUGGAUCUGCGUUCGGUGAAAGCGGUCGCCCGACGGGUUGUACUGCUUCUCCCGAACUAAUCAUUCGGUUUUCCCUUGAUGCUCUUCAUUGAGUGUCCUGGGUGACCGGAACUUUUACUUUGAAAAAAUUAGAGUGCUCAAAGCAGGCGAUUCGCCCGAAUAUUCGUGCAUGGAAUAAUGAAAAAGGUCCUUGUAGCCUUUUAUUGGUUAUUGCUAUGAGGAAAUGAUCGAAGGGGACAGACGGGGGCAUUUGUAUUGCGACGUUAGAGGUGAAAUUCUUGGAUCGUCGCAAGACAAACUACUGCGAAAG
rnacentral:rRNA from 1 species